CCAAUAGCGUAUAUUAAAGUUGUUGCAGUUAAAAAGCUCGUAGUUGAAUUUCGGGACUAACAGAUUGGUCGCGCCUUUGGUGUGUACUGGUCUAGUUGGUUUCUCCCUUCUGACGAACCACGAUGUCAUUAAUUUGGUGUCGUGGGAAAUCAGGACUGUUACUUUGAAAAAAUUAGAGUGUUUAAAGCAAGCGUUAGCUU
rnacentral:rRNA from 1 species